rnacentral:rRNA from 1 species
CAGUAGCCGCGGGAAUACGGAGGAUCCAAGCGUUAUCCGGAAUCAUUGGGUUUAAAGGGUCCGUAGGCGGUCUUGUAAGUCAGUGGUGAAAGCCCAUCGCUCAACGGUGGAACGGCCAUUGAUACUGCAGGACUUGAAUUAUUGGGAAGUAACUAGAAUAUGUAGUGUAGCGGUGAAAUGCUUAGAGAUUACAUGGAAUACCAAUUGCGAAGGCAGGUUACUACCAAUUGAUUGACGCUGAUGGACGAAAGCGUGGGUAGCGAACAGGAUUAGAUACCCGGGUAGUCCCUGUCUCUUAUAA